UACGUAGGGCGCAAGCGUUGUCCGGAAUUAUUGGGCGUAAAGAGCUCGUAGGCGGCUUGUCACGUCGGGUGUGAAAUCCCCGGGCUCAACCUGGGAAUUGCAUUCGAUACUGGAUAGCUAGAGUUCGGCAGAGGGAAGCGGAAUUUCGGGUGUAGCGGUGAAAUGCGUAGAUAUCCGAAGGAACAUCAGUGGCGAAAGCGGCUUCCUGGACCAGAACUGACGAUCAGGCACGAAAGCGUGGGGAGCAAACAGG
rnacentral:rRNA from 1 species